rnacentral:misc_RNA from 1 species
GAUGAAGAACGCAGUGAAAUGCGAUAAGUAAUGUGAAUUGCAGAAUCCAGUGAAUCAUCGAAUCUUUGAACGCACAUUGCGCCCGCCAGCAUUCUGGCGGGCAUGUCUGUUCGAGCGUCAUUUCAACCCUCGACCUCCCUUUGGGGAAGUCGGCGUUGGGGACCGGCAGCACACCGCCGGCCCUGAAAUGGAGUGGCGGCCCGUCCGCGGCGACCUCUGCGUAGUAAUCCAACUCGCACCGGAACCCCGACGCGGCCACGCCGUAAAACACCCAACUUCUGAACGUUGACCUCGAAUCAGGUAGGACUACCCGCUGAACUUAAGCAUAUCAAUAAGCGGAGGA